rnacentral:lncRNA from 1 species
GCAAAGAAGGGCGUGCGUCACCACCGUCAUAGGGAUCGAACGUGACUACACCUCUGUCCAUGAAUGAGGGCCCCAGAGCAUCACUCGUCCAUGGCACAACUUCUCGGGGCGGUCGGACUCACGGGGGACCAACGGGGUGGCCAAAAUUCCUCCCCGUCGCUCAUGCACCACCGCUGACCAGACCUCGCCAUGGCUUGUGUCGCCUGCACACUGAUUGAUGGUAAGACGCAAUGCAUCGAGUUCGCCUUCUUCUCCACUUAGUGUAGCACCCAUCUGUUUAGACGGGGGAAUCCUGGUGCACCGCGUCAACAUUCUCCAGUGUGGGCGCCGUCGUCCCAAGCGCGUGCCCCACCGUGCUCGGUCGUCGUGCAGAGAAGAAGACCUCUAGCCGUUUGAUCUAAAGCUGGCAGCUGGGAUCAUAUCUGCGUACCCCUUUGUGUGUCUCAAUCCGGGUCGUUGGUGUAGAUCUGUGUGGUUCCCGUGGGAUCUCAAUUCAUUAGAUUUUGGUCGUAGAUCAUCAAUUCAACAAAUGUGAAUGCUUACAGGUUCAGGACUAGGUCACGGUUGUCUAUCUCGCGAUCAAUGGCUCAGGUAGCUUACCGGUUGGAUACAAAAGCCGAUCUAAUCCUGACCACGGGUGGGUGAUCGGACGGCUCUGGAUGGCCUAUACCCCUUCGGCCAUGUGAUUUUGCAUAAAGCCAUAAACCCUCAAGAUUCUAAUAAACCAACCUGUCGUCCCACUCCUAUUGAAACUAAUCACAGUUAGAUCCAUAAAUUUUACAAAACCACCCCUGAAAUUUAUUUUAAGCAUAAAAAGGUGUAUAAAAAUGCAUAAAAACUUAGAUAAUUCAUAUUUUGAUCGUUUUGACUCCAAUUUGACCCGUUCGAAUUAAGUUAGGUGCAUAAUAAUAUUACAUGUACAGUAUAACACUAACUUUUAUAGUUGGGUACUUAUUUUAUGUAUAGUAAAUUAAUCUAACCAAUCCAAGCAGUAUGUUAAUAAUUAUAAUCUUAAUAGAAGGUGAUCUUUAACUACGAUAUGACUUACAUUAGAGUUAAUCUUUAAUGUAUACCUCACAUGAUUUAUAAAAUCAAUCUAGGACCUAGUAUUAGUUGUUUAAUCACAUAUGCCUUCGGAAAACCAUAUCCUUAUAAGCAUAACCCCGAUAUUAGUGGUUCUCGAAUCUGCAAUCUCGUAGUAGCGUGUAGAAUAUUCUUACGCUGUGUGUUCUCAUGUUUGGUGUACUGUUAUUUUUAUGUACUCCUUGUCUAUUUGUAUGUAUUGCUACGAGUAGCAGCGAGGUCAUGUGAAACCCAAAG